GCGGAGCGGAGCGGGACGGGACGGGCGGCCCCCCCGCCGCCCUGAGCCGCAGCGCCCGACACAGCGAGCGCCCGAGCGAGCGGGUUGCAGAGUAGUAGGAAAGGACUCAUAACUCUGCCCCUAUGACACCAACCAGC